rnacentral:rRNA from 1 species
UAGAUACCCUGGUAGUCCUGGCUGUAAACGAUGAAUGCUAGGUGUGCGAGCAGAGAUGUUGGUGUGCCGCAGUUAACGCGAUAAGCAUUCCGCCUGGGGAGUACGGUCGCAAGAUUGAAACUCAAAGGAAUUGACGGGGGCCCGCACAAGCGGUGGAGCACGUGGUUUAAUUCGAUGCAAACCGAAGAACCUUACCUGGGUUUGACAUGUAUGUGGUAGGAGCCGGAAACGGUGACGACGCUGCUUUCGG